AAGGAUACAAAACUGACAGGGAAGGUUCUGGAGGCAAGGCUUGGAGAAGGAUUGACAUCUAAGGAGAGAAGGAGCACGGGUGGUUUUGGGGAAAAAGGCUGGAGGGACUUUGUGUCUCUCAGGGUCACUUAAGAAGUUCUAAAACUGCAUUUUUCAAGGGUUUGCAAGAGUGCUGCACUGGAGUUCAAAGCCUCUCCAUUUCUCUUGAAAGGUGCAGGGUGAGGGACUUUG